UUAGAGGUCCUAGUUGUAGACUUGAAAACAUAAUCUUUGCAUUUUGAUUCAACUUGUUUCUAUACUUUUUGACUAUCUCUAUUCCCCUCUUUUUUAUUUAAAAUUUUUUAC